rnacentral:rRNA from 1 species
UACGAAGGGGGCGAGCGUUAUUCGGAAUCACUGGGCGUAAAGCGUGCGUAGGCUGUUUGGCAAGUUGGAAGUGAAAGCCCGGGGCUCAACCCCGGAAUUGCUUUCAAAACUGCCAGACUCGAAUCUCGGAGAGGAUAGCGGAAUUUCCAGUGUAGUAGUGAAAUACGUAGAUAUUGGAAGGAACACCGGUGGCGAAAGCGGCGCGCUGGACCUCUUCUGACGCUGAGGCGCGAAAGCCAGGGGAGCAAACGGG